GAUGAAGAACGUAGCGAACUGCGAUAAGUAAUGUGAAUUGCAGAAUUCAGUGAAUCAUCGAGUCUUUGAACGCACAUUGCGCCCCCUGGUAUUCCGGGGGGCAUGCCUGUCCGAGCGUCAUUGCUGCCCUCAAGCCCGGCUUGUGUGUUGGGCCGUCGUCCCCCCUCCCGGGGGGACGGGCCCGAAAGGCAGCGGCGGCACCGCGUCCGGUCCUCGAGCGUAUGGGGCUUUGUCACCCGCUCGAUUAGGGCCGGCCGGGCGCUUGCCGGCGUCUCCAAACAUCUUCUUCAGGUUGACCUCGGAUCAGGUAGGGAUACCCGCUGAACUUAAGCAUAUCAAUAAGCGGAGGA
rnacentral:misc_RNA from 1 species